rnacentral:lncRNA from 1 species
UGAAAGAAACAUCUACUUGACCUCCUCACAGUCUCCCUUUCUAUAGUGCAAGCUCGACUAGACAGUUUUGACAAUAGUGAUAUUAAGGCUCUGCUUGGUGCCAUGCAAUCUGCAUUUGGGGUGCCAGCUAGCCACAGGACUCAUCUGGAAAAAAACAACGGCCCAACCCUGAGAACUUUGGGAUUCACGGGAAAUUACAGUUCCCCUGAUGAUGCAGGACCGGACCAGGAUUUCACUCAUCAACUGGCCUAGAUUAAGGAGAAAGAAAUCUACAUUUCUGAACCUGGUAACGUCUGAGCAUACUCAUGGAAGAAAGAGCUGGCCUAUGAGCUUUUGCAUACCGAGUCCGAAAAAGUCAGUCAGUGAAAACACAUUAUUUCUUCCGGAGACACUCAGAGGGGGUCACUGCUUGCUAACCCUGUAAAUCCUUGAAGGGGAACAUAGUUCUGAGACUUUUCACGUCAUCUGAACUAAGUCUUUAGGACCCCAAUGUAAUCGGACUCCCCACUUUCUUCAGGCUGUUCCCAAAGGAGGGAUAUGAGGAAACUCCU